rnacentral:rRNA from 1 species
CCUACGGGCGGCUGCAGUGGGGAAUUUUGGACAAUGGGCGAAAGCCUGAUCCAGCGACGCCGCGUGGACGAUGAAGGCCUUCGGGUCGUAAAGUCCUUUUGCUCGGGAACAAUAUUUUGAGCGUACCGAGAGAAUAAGAGGUUGCUAACUCUGUGCCAGCAGCAGCGGUAAUACAGAGACCUCAAGCGUUAUCCGGAAUCAUUGGGCGUAAAGCGUACCGAUAGGUGGUUUUACAAGUCAGAAGUGAAAUCUUCAAGCUCAACUUGGAGACUGUCUUUUGAAACUGUAAAACUAGAGGGGCAAAGAGGAAGCUGGAACGAACGGUGUAGUAGUGAAAUGCGUUGAUAUCGUUCGGAACACCAAUAGCGUAGGCAGGCUUCUGGGUGCCACCUGACACUGCUUGGACGAAAGCGUGGGGAGCGAAUGGGCUUAGAUACCCCAGUAGUC